rnacentral:rRNA from 1 species
GUAACUUCGGGAGAAGGGGUGCCCAACGCAAGUUGGGUCUCAGUAAAUUGGGUUUAGCGACUGUUUAACAAAAACACAGCACUCUGCCAAGUCGUGAAGACGACGUAUAGGGUGUGACACGUGACCAAUGCGGAAAGAUCAAGGUGAGUUGUUAGCCGCAAGGCGAAGCUCCGAACCUAAGUCCCCGUGAAUGUCGGCCGUAACUAUAACGGUCCUAA